GAGUUUGAUCAUGGCUCAGGAUGAACGCUGGCGGCGUGCCUAACACAUGCAAGUCGAACGGAGUUUAUGAGGAAGAAGCUUCGGCGGAAUUCCUUAUAAACUUAGUGGCGGACGGGUGAGUAACACGUGGAGAACCUGCCUCUUACCGGGGACAGCAGUUGGAAACGACUGAUAAUACCGCAUAAGCGCACGAGACCGCAUGGUCCUGUGUGAAAAGAUUUAUCGGUAAGAGAUGGCUCCGCGUCUGAUUAGCCAGUUUGGCGGGGUAACGGCCCACCAAAGCGACGAUCAGUAGCCGGCCUGAGAGGGUGAACGGCCACAUUGGGACUGAGACACGGCCCAGACUCCUACGGGAGGCAGCAGUGGGGGAUAUUGCACAAUGGAGGAAACUCUGAUGCAGCGACGCCGCGUGA
rnacentral:rRNA from 1 species